UACAGAGGGGGCAAGCGUUAUUCGGAAUUAUUGGGCGUAAAGGGCGCGUAGGCGGCCAUUCAAGUGACGGGUGAAAGCUCUCGGCUUAACCGAGGAACUGCCUGUCAGACUGGAUGGCUUGAGACCGGGAGAGGUGAGUGGAAUUCCCAGUGUAGCGGUGAAAUGCGUAGAUAUUGGGAGGAACACCAGUGGCGAAGGCGGCUCACUGGACCGGAACUGACGCUGAGGCGCGAAAGCGUGGGGAGCAAACAGG
rnacentral:rRNA from 1 species